GCCGGCGUCGCCAAGCCCGGAAACGGCGGCGGACUCAAGAUCCGCUCCUGUAGAGGUCUCGUGAGCGAGCACCGCGAGCG
rnacentral:tRNA from 3 species